AGCUCCAAUAGCGUAUAUUAAAGUUGUUGCAGUUAAAAAGCUCGUAGUCGGAUUUCGAAUUUGUCGAUUUGGUGUUGCGCAAGUAGCUACUGAGUUGGCAAGUCUUCCUCUCGAAGAUGGCGUGUGCUCUUUGUUGAGUGUGCGUUAUAUUCGGGACGUUUACUUUGAGAAAAUUAGAGUGUUCAAAGCAGGCCAUGUUGCGCUUGAAUACAUUAGCAUGGAAUAAUGGAAUAGGAUGUCGAUUCUAUUUUGUUGGUUUCUAGAAUUGAGAUAAUGAUUGAUAGGGACAGUUGGGGGCAUUAAUAUUUAAUUGUCAGAGGUGAAAUUCUUGGAUUUAUGAAAGAUUAACUUCUGCGAAAGCAUUUGCCAAGGAUGUUUUCAUUG
rnacentral:rRNA from 1 species